GCCUUCGUGGUGUGAUAGUAGCACACUCGGCUCGUAUUCGAGUGGUCCAAGUUCGAGCCCCGGCGAGGGCG
rnacentral:tRNA from 1 species